UACAAUACGUCUACUCGCUAUAGCAUCCAAACGAAACAAUACACUGAUAGAGGAAAUUUAGACAAGUGAACAGCGCGCGGUAAUUCCCUUACUCGGUUCUAACGCGAGUAGGGGAAUUACCGCGCACUGUUCAAUAAACGUAUGUAUUACUUGCGGGAAUCCCCGAAAAUGCGUUUCGUUUUCAAGCAAAGACAAUGUGUGGGUUGCCGUUCGUGUAAAAAAGAAAAUAACUACCGAUGACGUAAUCAUCAUCUAGACUCCCCUACCCCCCAUGUCAUCCAAAAUAAGCAAAGCAAAGACCCCCCGCCCCCCCCAUAGUGCUUACGUAAUACUUGAACGGCCCCUAUGACACAGCUUUGACCUUUAAAAUACACAUUCAAAACCAUUAACGAGUUAUUGUUCAUUCAGUUUUAAUUGCUUUAGUCCAUUGUAAACAAUAACUAGAUCUGUCAAUUCAGUAUAACUAUUAUAAUAGCAAUAUACUUCUGCAAUUGUUACUAAGGGUUUUCUGAGUUUGUUUUUCCGUAAAUAUAAAUAAAUCAGUUCAUUCAGAUCUAACAUAUUGAAUUAUCUAAACAGCUUUUAUAUAUUUUGAAGAUCACUAGAGUCAUACGAUCUGGAAGGUCGAGGCCAAUCUCAGAACUGCUCACCAAAUGAUCGGCUCUUUUUGGUAGAUUAUGUGAGUCGGAUCAGCUCACUGAGUUGCCUUGCACUCAUGUCUGAGCUGGAACGGGGCUGAAGUCAUCACACAAUAUCAUGAGAACUUUCUCAGCACAACCAUCUUCAUCCGUAGACGUGUCACGUUUAGUGCCCUCACUAUAAUAAUCUGUAACACUUUGCUUCUUUGCAAUUUGUAAUAAAGUGUAACACUUACCACUUAUUAUCGAACUGUACAAAAGAAUUAACUCACGAUAGCGAGUAGCUAAUAGAAUAACAACGUAGGUUAGACGCUACGCAUGCUACUGUCGUUAGCUAUAGAGUAAUGGAUCAGGUAAACAAACCAAGUCAAAGAAUAGACUUGAUGAGAAAUAGGCCAUAACGACAGUUUCUAACGGUUUGAUUGGAAAUUUCAUGCAAUACAAUAUACCACAAUGUAGGAAAAUUAUAUUUUGUUUUCUUGACCUCCAAUUUAAUUUUUAUUUGUAAUCCUUUGGCUGUGAAAAUCAAGUAAUUUUAUUUCGUGUUUAAGCUAAAUACUUUUCCCUCCUGUCCCUUCCUAAAAAAGGGGGUCUGCUGACCCCCCUCCAGUUCCACUGUUCCUGACUUUGACGAAGGACUCUGGCCCUUGAACUAUUCUGAACCCUCGUCGACACAAUGGUUACUAGCGAUACCCUCGUGUUACUACGGCAUGUUAUAAUGACAUAUAUUUGUUUAUUAAUUUUUUUCAUUCAAAUAUUGUCUCAUUGCAAUCAUGGUUAUCCAUAACACCAAUGUAAAACUGUUUGCCAACACUCAGUCAAAACCUUUGGAGUUUCAUGUGAUCGAAGUCGAUUUUGCCCAUAUAGAAGUGAAGCUUUACAAAAUUUCAAUGUAUGUCAGUUCGUUCUCGGGAUGUCGUGCAGACAUACAUACAUUAAUGUUAUUUUCCUGCCCCUCGAGGUAUAGAUUUCACUAACUCUCAGGCAAGUAGCCUACAUGGCGCUCUGAUAUUAUUCUGAACAGCGUAAAUAAUGCAGUUUUAAUAUUAUUAUAUAGUUUUAAAAUAUAGCGUCUAAUGAGGGUAAGCUGAUAUACAUAAACUGGACGUUCAAACUAGGCAUUGAUUAACGUGUCAUGUCAUGAAUUGUCAUAUACGGAGAACAUAUCGAGUUACAAAAGUCUAAUAUUCUAAUUUAUUACAAGUUUACAGAAAAAUUAAACAUUGUAUUGUCGGAUCCGAGAACCAUUUAACACUGUAAAAGAACGCAACCUGCUUUUUCUCUAAAUAGAUAAAGGAACUUUUCCUAAGAAAGUCAUUAAUAUUCAGCCAAGGUAGUUUCGAUAGAGGUUGAAAUGUAAAGGUACCAAAUGGGUAUAAACAAUAAAGUUUAUUCUGAUAUUAUAUUAAAAACUCUAGCUUAAUUAUACUUAAAACUUAUCGUCAGAUACACAAAUAAAACUUAUUUCACCGCCAGAACUAGGUACGGAGAUUAAGGUUCUCUACAUGAUUAGCUGACAUGGGUUAAUUAUUUACGUGUCUGUCAAUUGGUUUUACAUAAUAUGACAUAUUAUGUCAAGCUAAUAAAUAUAUGAUUACUAUUUCACAUGUUUAACCCUUAUGAUACUUUUCAAUUUUGGCCCCUACCAAAACUAGCACGCGUGAUAAUUAAAUUUUACAGGAGUUCUUUUAGAAAUGUAGAUUUUAAGAAAAUGUUUUAAAAUUAAAGUUUUUCUCGGUCGCUGGAUUGUUAUGUUUGUUUUUUUGUACUUAAAUUUUUGUUUUUCUUCGUAACAUAUUUCAUUGUGGGUUGUAGCAUAUGACUGUCAUUAGGUGACACUGAUGACAUGACUGUGCACUACAGUCCUGGUUUCCCACGGCGCUGCUGUGCUGGAGGUGUGCUGUUGGAAGACUACACUACGUUGCUGUUUAAGUCGUAGUUGCUUAGGUGAAAACAGGUACGGAGGAUGAAAGGGUCAAAAUGCAAAAGUUUGCGCACAACACGAUGAAAAAAUAUUUGUUCCUGUAAAAUGACAAGAUUUACUGUGUUUCUGUAUCAAGAUGAUACAAACUAUAUUUCACGAAACGUGUAGUAAAAACAACAAAAUAACUCGUAACAGUUGAUUGGGAGUUCAGAAUUCUUUUCACAGGAGAUAAUACCUGCACAUCAGGAGAUAAGAAGAACCACUGGGGUCGGAGACAGCAAUAUGGUUUUUCCGAAUCUGACGAUUCCAUAUUCGGGUCGGGGAAGAAUAUAAAUGACCUCAUCUCGACUUAUGUAAUAUUACUGUACGUUUUAAGUCUUGAACUGCAGAAUAAUGCAGAUCAUACAA